rnacentral:lncRNA from 1 species
AACUAUGCCAUUGCCUAGAUCUCUGCCCCAAGGCGUUUAGUCGUCAAUAGAUAAUAAACUAGGGAAAGGAGAAGGCGGGCAAAUAUAGCUCUCUCAUGUUAAAUAUAUAUACUGUACAGUAUUACUAAGGGCUCAGAAUCCCACGAGAAGUAAAUUAUAGGAGGGAUCAUAAUCCCACCUUGAAAUCUGUGGGAUUAUCCCAUUCAAAAACUACCCUAGAGCACCAGAUGAACGCUUGGGGUGGUGAGUUAAUAGCUAACCCGGCUCUUCUGAUGGAUUACUCGUGUGCAAGCCACCUUGGAAAAGUCUUCAAUGCAGAAAAGCAGGAUAUGAAUAUUAAUAAUAGAACAAGACAUCCCCCCUCCCAUUGAGCUGACCCUGUUCACCUUCCCUUUGCCCCAAUAAAAAUGGGCACGUGUGUUUACAGAAGGGGGCAUACACCUUUUCUCUAUUGUGGCUUCCUGAUUGCAUUCUGAGUGUAUUCUCAGUACAGUAUCGCAUCCCAGCGUCUUCCUGUAUGGAUCGUUCCCGGGAUUGCCCUCCCUUUUUCCAAAACCUCUUCUCCCCCCUCACCCCUUGGUGUCAGGAGGACAGAAGGCAGAAGGAUCAGGUGUGUGUGUGUGUGCCAGUAGCUCACGCAACCGGCCUCAAAAACUCCCAAUAGCCCUCCUUCCUCCUCCUCCUCUUCCCCCUCCCUCAAGAAUCCCUCCUCCCUCUCUCCUUUCUCAUUCAAACGCAGCAACUCCUGUUGUGUCAGUUUUAUCUUUUUCCUCCUCCUCCUCCGCCACCGCUAGGCAGAGGAGAACCAGCAGCAGGUAAAGAAACCCUUUUUCCAAAAAUACACCUUAUGAAAAGGUCUUCCAAUGCUAGAUUUCUUCCUCUUUCUUUUUUUUUUAAACCCGCCUCCCUCUCCAAAAGAGGGAGGGCGAUAGAUGAGGAAGAGGAAAUUUAUAGAUAGCUUCUUUGCUUCCUCUAAACUUCUUGCCGUGUGUGAUUUCUGCCUCGUUUCUGCUGCCUGCAGCCUCUUUAUCCCAUCCUCUCUUUUUUUCCUUGUUCUUAUCCAAUUAGUGUUUGUGAAACUUCCAUUGAGAUAUAUUAUUUCAGGACUCACUAUGUCGAUUUUAAAGGGUGGAGGGAGGAAAACGGAAGAUCUCUUUGUGAGUAAUGGAUGUUCCUGGAAGCAAGAUCUGAUCUUAAAAUACUGAAUCAUCCUAACUUUUUAACAGUGCUGCUUUUUUGGCUGGAAAAAAAACACCACUAGUUUGUACUUGCUCAGUUGCUGUGUGGUAAGAACUUUUUAAGGUGUGGCUUUAAUAGCAGCUGACGAUUCUUGCUGGGAAACAAGUCUUAUUUUUGGUAUGCAUGUCUCUGGAAAUUCUAUGAAGCAAAAUUACACCACUGAAUAUCCUUUUCAUAGAAGGAAUUGACUUUAAACUGAUUAAUGGAGGACCUUUUUCCAUGAAGUUUAUCCAUGUUAUCUGAAAGAAAAUAAAGACCAUUGUGUGUGCCCCCCCUACCCCA